rnacentral:rRNA from 1 species
AAUCAACGCUGGCGGCGUGCCUAACACAUGCAAGUCGAACGCGAAAGGGGCUUCGGCCCUGAGUAGAGUGGCGAACGGGUGAGUAACGCGUGGGUGACCUACCUUCGAGUGGGGGAUAACGUUCCGAAAGGAGCGCUAAUACCGCAUGACGCUCCGGAUGUGACCAUCUGGUAACCAAAGCCGGGGAUCGUAAGACCUGGCGCUUGGAUAGGGGUCCGCGUCUGAUUAGCUAGUUGGCGGGGUAAGGUCCCACCAAGGCGACGAUCAGUAGCCGGCCUGAGAGGGCGGACGGCCACACUGGGACUGAGACACGGCCCAGACUCCUACGGGAGGCAGCAGUGGGGAAUUGUUCGCAAUGGGCGCAAGCCUGACGACGCAACGCCGCGUGGGGGAUGAAGGUCUUCGGAUUGUAAACCCCUGUCGAGCGGGACGAAUGGCCCGCGACCUAACACGUCGUGGGAAUGACGGUACCGCUAAAGGAAGCCACGGCUAACUCUGUGCCAGCCGCCGCAGUAACAC